UUGUUAAAGAUCCAGAGAGGUUAUUCUCUCUUUCUUUUGGUUCUUUCGGAAGAAUCCCUUCUAAUAGUGCUUAGAUGGAACUUGUCACAUGCUUUUCAAUGAUGCAUCUACAAAGACCACCCAACACAGAUUUGCACAAGGGGUUGCAUAUAUAUUGAAAAAUUCUAGUGAACAAGAAAGAUUACAAAAAUGGUGGGAUGAUGAGGCACAGUGCUUUGCAGGAAACUAAGGC
rnacentral:lncRNA from 1 species